rnacentral:rRNA from 1 species
UGGGGAAUCUUGCGCAAUGGACGAAAGUCUGACGCAGCGACGCCGCGUGGGCGACGAAGGCCUUCGGUUGUAAGCCCUGUGGGGCGGGACGAACACUCUCUAGGCGAACAGGCUAGGGAGCUGACGGUACCGCCUUAGCAAGCACCGGCUAACUCUGUGCCAGCAGCCGCGGUAAGACAGAGGGUGCAAACGUUGCUCGGAAUUACUGGGCGUAAAGCGCGUGUAGGCGGUUCCGCAAGUCAGGUGUGAAAGCCCAGGGCUCAACCCUGGAAGUGCACUUGAUACUACGGAGCUUGAGUACUGAAGAGGAGAGCGGAAUUCCCGGUGUAGAGGUGAAAUUCGUAGAUAUCGGGAGGAACACCAGUGGCGAAGGCGGCGUCUCUGGGCAGAUACUGACGCUGAGACGCGAAAGCAUGGGGAGCAAACAGGAUUAGAUACCCUGGUAGUCCAUGCUGUAAACGAUGAGAACUGGGUGUUGUGGG